rnacentral:sRNA from 1 species
GACUCGGAACCGUUUAACUCCAGUUUCAAGGGAUCCCGCGCCCUCUGCUGGUCUCCACUGGUACUGCAUACACACAGCUCACAGACACAUGCUGGCAGCGUGCUCAAACAUGUAAGAUAGCGUGAAUUUUAAGGAGGUGAGAGAGCCUCAGGCUAUGACAGGAAGGAACAAAGCAGCAGGGCUCUGAGGAGAUCAAGAAGUCUAUUGACAUCAUCAUCUUUGAUCGGCUUGGAGAAGUAUUUGGGUUGGGGACCUAUGCAGAGGCUUCCGGGUGAGAACGGUGUUCCCCUAAAUUCAAAGGCUGCAAUAGUGUUAAAAGGUCAGAAUAACCAUUGUAUUGCGUCUUCCCGGGACAGAGAUGCAAUGCCAAGGGACCGCCAGAAAAAUACAGUGUUCAUUCGGCUGCUAUUUUGCUUCCAUUUGUUCUGUCUGUAAGCAUUGUUGCUACGCUAUUGGGAAAGGUGCUGUGCUGAUACAACUGACGUUAAGCUUUCGUUACAAAGAAGCAGAUCUUUAGAGAGCUGGACCACAAAACACGACUGGUUAAUUCCAGUCAGGAUCUGAACCCUGGUCCACGUAGCCCGCACAGGAAACAAAACACUUCAAGAAAGGCGCAGGUGUCAUAAGCAGAGACAGUGGCUGGCCUCACCGUCCUUCCCCUGCCUGGCAUCGGGAAUGAUCAUGAAACAGGGCGUGAAUUCAAGAGUCAAUAAAUUCAUUAGAAGAAAAACACUCAACUGUGAACCCAGGGAAAGGGUUUUGCAUCAAAAGAAUACCUUGGCCAAGGAAUGCCACAAAAAAGUCACCCCAUUGCCACAGACUCAUGCAAGAGAUUUAUUGGCGAGGGGAGAUACAAAACGCUGCCUCUGAGUACGGAUGGAAAGAGAGAGAGAGAGACCAGGAGGUAGGGAGCAUUCACAUAGG